CUGGGAGCCGUUGAAUGGGAUGAACAGCAAUCGAGGAGCCUUCAAACUAAGAUGAAUGUAGUGCCACGCCCACAACACGGACACUCCCAGAGAGAGAGAGAGAGAGAGAGAGAGAGAGAGAGAGAGAGAGAGAGAGCUGCCCCCGGCCCCGGCCAGGAGGCACCCGGAGGCCUCAUCUGGGACCCAGCCGUCCUCAUCUGGGACCCAGCAGUCCUCCUCUCGGAGCCAGCCGUCCUUCUAGACUCCUGGGUAGACAAAACGUCCAGGUGAAGACGGCCCAGCACCUGGACCUGGGAGCCCAGGUCCGUUCACGCUAUAAUGAACAAACUCAUCUGCAGAGUGAUUGGAUGAAGCUUUCAGAAGGGGGUUUACGCGGCAAAACCUUAACAGACACAACCUUGACAGAACCUUGGUGUUUCAGCUUAUCUCCCCACCAGGACAUGUUGAAGUGGUGCAGAGAGUCUGUGUUUGCAGAGAGGUGGCCCGCCUGGUGAACAGGAGACCCAGGACGGCCUGCCUCCUCCCAAGGUUUCUGAGUCUCAGGAGGAACCUCUUCCUCCUCCUUACAGUCGCCCGGUGGCUCGUCUGUGGCACUAAAUCAGUUUGUUGACAAGCCAAAGGAGGUUAGUGGUUGUCAUGGCCUGCCGUUCUGAUCUACACUCUGUAUUAUGGCUGGGCCAUGUGCUUAUUCUCUGGGGUUUAGAACUGGGAAUGAAAUAACAUUUCUAUAUAGGCUCAUUCAAAGAUGCAUUUUCUUUGCUCUGUCAAUUGAUUUAGGGAGCUCCCAGCUGCUUGCCAAUUCAGUCUGUGUUUGGAUCCUACGUUUAAACACGCUUCUCCAUUUGCUGCUUUAUCGGACCCGACUCUGAGGGAUGUAGCUUUGCAUAAGCUAGAUAAAGAGCUCUCUGCUAUCUCUGUUGCCAAUGCAUUAUGGAGCAUUGUCAAAGAGACUUCCCCUUGAGCUUCAUAAAUGAAACCAUUGGAAGAAUGAGACAAAACUCAUUUAUUCAAUGAUCAUCUGACUAUAAUGUAUUAUCAUAUAGAUUUUGGUCUGUUUUGCUAUAUAGUGACAUUUAGCUGUGGAGGCAUAAUUUUUCAAUCAAACGAAUGGUUUAAUAUGUCUGGGAAUAUCAUUUGGCCUCAUGUGGGCCAUUAAUCAAGUUGUUGACCUAGAGAUAGUCUACCCAAGGUCGCAGCUCCACCCAGGCUGAUCAGGCCAUAGGUCAGAGGUGACCGGGGUGAUCAUAAUGUGUGGGCUGUUAAAUGAAUCACAUGGAUGCUUUUGUUUUCUAUGUAUCCUGCUCAUUUCUUUGAUUUGUUUUAAAUACAUUGUGGAAUUGUCACGGCAACAAAGGAGAGAGACGCUUUUGGGUGGAACACAAAUUAUUUCAUGAUUUGAUUGGGUUUUUGAUUGGGGGCAGAAAUAGGGCAGAAAUUUAAAUUUACCUAAUCCUGGAAUCCUCUCAAAUUUGUCAUACACUUAGCGAAGGCUCACUAGUGUCGUGCACAUAACAACAAACCGUGUGUUAAUAGCAUGUUGGUGUGUAGUUUGUGCGACAUUUGAGCGAUGUGCUUCAUCUCUUUCUCUGUCCGCCACACCAACGUCUUUUGCAAGCGGUCCAACGCAUGCGCAUCAAGCUUCUUCCAGGAAACACUAACGUUUUGAUUUGAUCUGUACACUUGUGAAAGAUUAUUCUAAUAAAAGAUUAUUUAACA
ensembl:lncRNA